CCUCUGUCUGGCUUCUCUCUCUUACACAAAACCUUUUUCCUCUCACUUCUAUAUUAUUAUGUACAGUCCAAUAGUUCUCUCUCUUUGUGCUAAAAGGAAGCAAAUUCAACAAUUGAUUCGAAUGAUCUGUACUCGUCUUUGGUUUUUCAAAAAGACCCUCUCAUCUCCAUUAUUAUUGUGUUGAAGAUUUGAGAAAUUUGUGGUGCACAACCCUACUCUGUCUCAAAUUUGUGGUUGCUCAAUAUGCAGAUGAAGGUGCCGUCACUCACAGAGGGUUCAGGCAAAAGGGGUAUCUAACUCUCUUUUCACAAUCACUUAUCUCCCUCACAGAUUUCCCCAAAUCUUCUGCCCUAACUUCUGUAUCAGUGAAAUUGAUUCUUCAAAUCUUGAAAAAAUCUACCACAAUAAUAUCAAUCUCCAUCAUCUGUGGUUGUUCACCUUUAUAAAAUGCAAAGUGCCCAGCUUCAAACCCCACCACGACGAAGGACAAUGGCAUCCUUCACACCAAAAACAGACAGGCCGUGCUGUGGUGUUCGAUGUGGAUGGUGGGAGUUGCGGUCCACCAAAACCCGGUAAGCAAGAGGUACAAAUCUUGCCGUCUUUUCUUUACAAACUUCCUAAUCUCAACGUUUCUUCUCUUCACCAUGUCUGUUUCUGUAUUGGGUGUUUGAAGAAUUUCGGUUUAUUUGGUAUCAAUUGGUUUGAUUUUUUGGUACUUGUUUGUUGUGUUUGGGGUUGUUAAAAAAUUGAAGUAAAAAGGAGACCAUCAUUUUUUAUGUGGUUUUCAUCUUAUUGGGUUCAUUGUAUGCCGAUUACAAAUUUUGGAGUGAGAUGUAUGGGGUUGUGGCAAAGUUAGACAGUGACAGAGCGAUGAAGGGGAAGACCAAAAAAAAAAAAAGAGGAAAAGAAAAAACACAAACAGGGCCCAGCAAAAGAUACAUGGUAGGCUCCACGGACCAAGGAAGACCAAGCUCAUUCUUUAAUUUCCUUCAUUCCUGAAACCAAUCCAUCAUUGUUGAAUUAGUACAUGGUUUCUGGAAAUUGGCUCCUUUAAGUCAACUAUAAUUUUCAAUUAUUAUUAUUAGUUUACAAGUUUUGAUUAGUUUUUAAUUGCUCAUUAUCUGUUGGUUUUGUUGAAGCAAGUUUCUGUGCCAUUUUUAGGCUAACUCCAUACUCCUCGGUCGUUGUUCAAUACACAAACAAAGAAGAGGAAUAGAUCUCCUCAACUCUCAGUUGAUUCAUCCAUUGCUGAAAAUGAUUGUCCUUAUCUGGCUAGUAUGGCUAACGAUGUUGAUGACUUUAAGAUGUGGGGGUCUGACAAUGUUAAGAUAUUUUUAGAAAUCUUGCUCGAUGAAAUAAAGAAAGAGGGUCCCUGCAUGUCAAAGAAAGAUAGAAAUUUGUCCUAAAGCAAUGGCAAACAAUUGAUGAUGAGAUGACUAAGAAGCUUGGAAAAAUUUUUGGCCAAAGAAAGUUGAAGGGUAAGUACGCACGUUUGAAGGCAAACUACAAAGAGUUUGUUGCUCUAAAAAACCACAUGAGAUUAGGCUGGGAUCUAAUAACACAAACAGUGACUACCCCAGAUGAUGUUUGGAAAAAUUAUGUUCAGGCACACCCAAAUGCCAAACAAUUCCAAAAUAAAGGCCUUGAACAUUAUGACCUAAUGUCAGAAAUCUUUGCCAAAACAUUUUCCACUGGAACAUUUGCCCGUUCUUGUCGUUAGGGUGCACCUACAUCUGAUAACGAGCGAGAAAUGGAUGAACUCUUUCAUGCAUAUACCUCCAGGAAAGGUGUAGUAGAUGAAUCUUGCACUUCUAAAAGUAAGCGUAAGUCUAGUGGCCAAGGGCAAUCAAGCAAGAACCCGAGAAUGGAUGAUGCACUUCAAUCAUGGCAACGUUCAAGUGACGCACGUGAAAGGUUUUACCUUCGAACUAAGACAAAUGCUGGGGCAACUAAUGCGUACUCAGUUUCAGCCUGCAUGGACAUACUCAAAUCAAUGGCCUUGGAUUCAAGCUUGUACUUGAAGUCCAUGAACAUGUUCACAUCGUUAGAAUGGCGAACCAUGUUUGUGACCAUGGAACCGGAAAUGAGGUACCUUUGGAUCCUUAGUUUGUGACAAGCUUGGUGAUCCCACAGUUGUGGUGGAUGUGAAGGUGGACAUACUUUGUGACAAGGCUGGGUGCUUACAGAAUUUGCUUUAUUUUUUUUUUAACUUGCCUUUUUUUUUUUUUUUUUUAACUUGCCUUUCGGUUUAGACUAUGGUGGGCGUUGUCCCAAUUUUUUUUUCCCGCUUUCUA